rnacentral:lncRNA from 1 species
UGGAUUGAAAUUUGAGUUAAAUCGCUCAAUUUCUCUUCGCGAGGAGUUAAGCGAUUUCCGGGCUCAGGCUUUCUCCACACCGCGGCGUUCUGACUUGAAACCCCAGCGGCUCACUUUAUCCAGUUCCGCGAAGGAGGCUACAGGUGUCCUUUUUUCUAGUGCGCGUCGUGAUCUUUCUAGUUAGAUAGCUAGAAGCUUAGGGCCGUUUUCGUGUGGCGGCAGUAGUGUGCUCGCGUUGGAAAAACAGGUGUUUCGGCCACGCUACAGGCCCAAUCCACUCGCCGUCACGCUGCGAAACGCCCCUGGAUCGACCCAGGACAUCACCAGCCCAGGCCCGGCAACGCUACGCCGGACGAACCGCGUACGUCACCACACGUGGUUCCGGAACUGACCGGCUUCCGCCGGAGAAGGACGGUAGCAACCGUCAACCAUCU